rnacentral:tRNA from 1 species
CAGGGGGUAUUUUAUAUUUAAAAUAUUAGUUUUGGGGAUUAAUGAAAUGGUGUACACCUUUCCUCUGA